GUGAUAGAAGUGAGAGAGAGAGAGAGGGUCGUGGUCAUUUCUGGAACCCAAGACCAGUCGGUAGGGUCAGGAGGGGUCAGCUACUUUUAUUACUUUGUUUGUCCUUUUCACCUCUCUAUCUCUCUUUCCCUAGCCUUUUUAUCCCUCUAUCUCUUCCCUUCUCUCUUCUCACUUCUCACUUCUCUAUAUCUCAAUCUCAUUCAUCCACUUCUUCAUCUCAUUUCCAUUUCUUAGCCACCACUAUGAUCACAGUUCACACACACCCAUAUAUCUCUCUCUAUAUAGAGAGAUAAUUGGGUAUGCGAAAAUAGAGAACAAGGAAGAAGAGGAGGCUUGUUGUUUUGAGGGGAAUGUUGUCUGGCUCGAGGCCACCAGCUAGAUCUAUGAUCUUUUUCUCAAUUUUUAACAUUUUUUUUUCCAGUUUAUUAGAUCUUUGAGAUACCCAGUUGAGAAAGAUCAUAUUUUUGAUCAUAAGUUAAUGACCUCGGACCAGGCUUCAUUCCCCCCAAUAAUUGCUUCCCUCUAUUCACACUGAUCAUCACAAUCUCCUUUUGAUAAUUCUCUCUUCAAUGUUUUGCUUAAUCUGCCUUGAUCUAUUGUGAUGGGCAUAUCAACCAGAUCCUUUGGAGGUAUGCUUAUAAGGUUACUACUUAUACUCUCUCUGUGGCUUAGGUUCUACACUCUGAUCAGAUUUUCUUUAUGCAUUUAACUGAUACAUAUGCUUUAUUUAUCAUUGUUACUUUAGUUAUGUUUUCAAGAUUUGAUCCAACGAUGUUACAAGCUUUUGUAAUGCGUGCGUUUCACACUAAUUACGUUGCUUCAAGGAAGGUGAAAGUAUAAUUUUUCAGGGCUGACUGAUGUGUGAACUCUAUUUAAGAAGCAACCCACUUAACAAGUGCAAUAUCUAUUAUUUGUUAUUUGCAGCCCCAGAAAUCUACGAGGUUUUGUUUGGAUUGGAGCAUUAAUAUUUUGAAUGUGAAUUAUGAUGUAUAUUUACAUAAAACAGAAAAGAAAAAGAAAAAAAGAAUGAUGUGAUAGAUUGGAUGUCUGAUUUGCUUAGACCUUCUAGUGUUGUCUAAUACAUGAGCAAGUUGCAGUCUAGAUUUGUGAAUGUGAGGGGAGAAAAGAGAACCCUAGAUUCAGAAAAAUGUGAGGGGAGAAAGAUAAUGAGAAGUUCAUUAUAUCAAAAAAAUAUGCAUUUUUUCUCUCUAAAAUCUAGAUAUUGUGAAUGGUGGAUAUCGUGUUCAUGUUCCUCUACCUAUAAAACAACAAUGUAUGGUUUUUGCUCUGCGAUUUGUAACCCUUCUUUGGAAAAAGUCAUGCAAUACAGAAAUCAAAUAAUUUAGUUUAAUUUCGACUUCUAAUUUGGAAGUAUGGUUUUGAUGAAUAAGUUGCACAAUGAAGAUCGGAAGGUUAAAGGUGGGAUGUAAUAUGCAAGAAGUUAUUUUUCACAAUUUUAAUACAACAUUUAUCACAAUUUUUUCUUCCACAAUUGCUAACAUGACCUAUUGUGAUAUUAGUAUAUUUUUAAAGAUCUUAGGUGGUUAAACCAGUUGAAAAUGAUGUUCAUCAUAUCAGAACUGACUAUAUCAAUUGUUAUGAAUAAUGUUGCUCUGUAAGAAGAUGACGAACAUUACAUCUUUGAGCUCACUUCUUAACAGUAUGUCUUGGCAAAACUGUGCUUAGAACUCAGAGAGAGAGAAGUUACAUGCAUUGCGAAAUUGUUUCUUAUGUUCUCAAGGGUAUCAUUUGUUGAAUUCAUCCCAGAACAGUGGACUACUGUACAGAAAGAACUAUAAAGGAAACACGUGAUUGGAAAGAUGAAUGAGAGAAGCGUCACCAAAGAGGACAACUGUGAUGGGUCUCUACUCUCUACUCUCUAGUGCUUUGUGGCGUUGUGUGGAGUGUUGUGCCUCAUUCUGUCAUCAAUUUCUGAAGCUUGAGGCCUAUGCAACACUGAAUGCCUUUAAUGGUCUGACUUUCUUUCUGAAUCAUUUACCAUUAUACAGUUGAGUCAACAUCAGCAGUUACAACAUGGAUACCCUUUUACCCUCACUAUGACUAAUGUCAACAAUGAUAUUUCUAUUUAGCAGAACUUUGUGUAAUAAACUCAUUGCUUAGCAUUUCAAUUACUUUUUUUUUGGGGGGGAAUCUACUAGUAAGGAAUCUAGUAUACAAAAAAUGUCAGCAUACAGUGUUACAAGUUACGAACCCCCACACACUGUUUCCAACCCAUAUCAAAAGCACCUUAUAAUAAAUACAGCUCAAUGUGUAAGAAUUAUAAGCUGAUAGAAGAGCCUAGAUAAAAUGCUCUAUUUCGAUGAA